AACGAACGCUGGCGGCAUGCCUAACACAUGCAAGUCGAACGAGACCUUCGGGUCUAGUGGCGCACGGGUGCGUAACGCGUGGGAACCUGCCCUUAGGUUCGGAAUAACUCCCCGAAAGGGGUGCUAAUACCGGAUAAUGUCUUCGGACCAAAGAUUUAUCGCCUUUGGAUGGGCCCGCGUUGGAUUAGCUAGUUGGUAGGGUAAAAGCCUACCAAGGCGACGAUCCAUAGCUGGUCUGAGAGGAUGAUCAGCCACACUGGGACUGAGACACGGCCCAGACUCCUACGGGAUGCAGCAGUAGGGAAUAUUGGACAAUGGGCGAAAGCCUGAUCCAGCAAUGCCGCGUGAGUGAUGAAGGCCUUAGGGUUGUAAAGCUCUUUUACCCGGGAUGAUAAUGACAGUACCGGGAGAAUAAGCUCCGGCUAACUCCGUG
rnacentral:rRNA from 1 species